GAUGAACGCUAGCUACAGGCUUAACACAUGCAAGUCGCGGGGCAGCAUGGGGGUUGCUUGCAAUCCCCGAUGGCGACCGGCGCACGGGUGAGUAACGUGUAUCCAACCUGCCCUUCACCACGGGAUAACCCGGCGAAAGUCGGACUAAUACCGUAUGUUGUCCAUUGACGGCAUCCGAUUUGGACGAAAGGCUUGGCGGUGAGGGAUGGGGAUGCGUCCGAUUAGCCAGACGGCGGGGAAACGGCCAACGGUGGCUACGAUCGGUAGGGGUGCGGAGGGGAAGGUCCCCCACACUGGAACUGGGACCCGGGCCAGACUCCACGGGAGGCAGCAGUGAGGAAUAUUGGUCAAUGGGCGUAAGCCUGAACCAGCCAAGUAGCGUGCAGGAUGACGGCCCUAUGGGUUGUAAACUGCUUUUAUGCGGGGAUAAAGUGGCCCACGUGUGGGCUUUUGCAGGUACCGCAUGAAUAAGGACCGGCUAAUUCCGUG
rnacentral:rRNA from 1 species